rnacentral:rRNA from 13 species
AUAACGACUCUCGGCAACGGAUAUCUCGGCUCUCGCAUCGAUGAAGAACGUAGCGAAAUGCGAUACUUGGUGUGAAUUGCAGAAUCCCGCGAAUCAUCGAGUCUUUGAACGCAAGUUGCGCCCUAGGCCAUCCGGCUGAGGGCACGUCUGCCUGGGUGUCACGC